rnacentral:rRNA from 1 species
UACAGAGGUCUCAAGCGUUGUUCGGAUUCAUUGGGCGUAAAGGGUGUGUAGGUGGCGCCGUAAGUCGGGUGUGAAAUUUCGGAGCUUAACUCCGAAACUGCAUUCGAUACUGCGGUGCUUGAGGACUGGAGAGGAGACUGGAAUUCAUGGUGUAGCAGUGAAAUGCGUAGAGAUCAUGAGGAAGACCAGUGGCGAAGGCGGGUCUCUGGACAAUAUCUGACGCUGAGGCUCGAAGGCCAGGGUAGCGAAAGGG